GAAAGAAAGGGAGAGAAACAUUAAUUGGUUACCUCUCACAUGUCCCCAACUGGGGACCUGGCCUGCAACCCAGGUUUUAAUUUCAUUCUUUCCCCUGGACGAAAUUCAAUGUACCCUGAGCAGUGGUUCUCAACCUUGGCUGCAGACUCAAGAAUUGUGUGGGGUUCUGGAUCUGCAGCCUGUCUGGUCACAGAGUGCUCCUAGACUCCUUAGGAAAUGCAGCACAGAAGACGCAGCAGCCUGGUGCACGCUCUGCUCUCCUAACUGAACUUUUGGCCCUGUCUUCAUCUGCUUUGUGACCCCAGUGAAGUGGCCGGGCCCUAAACUCCAUGACCUCCUCCAUCCUUCCCCUGGAACCG